CGGAGGGAGAGGGCGUCCGUCCCAUGGGACCGGGACUUCCCUGCUGUGAUAGAAGCCGGACGCGAGGGGAUCGCCUUCAGACCUCAGGUAUAUGCAAGCGAAUGGCACAGUAUUUGACUUUGCACUCCUAAAUGUCUCGCACAGUGAAUCUUACAAAGUUGAGAAACAACACAUUUCAGCUGAGAUUAAAGCUGUGGCAUUGAUAUAAAGAUUACUUUCCUUCCUCCUCUGAAGACUUCUAUAGAAUGCAAUCGGUAUUUUUAGCUGGCUGGCAGUGGCAAGAUCUAAAAUGUAGACAAAAUGUAUUUGAAGAGCUACAGCUGUUCCCAUGUAGACAGUGUGGCAGGUAAUGUUGGUAUAAAUUGAGGCAUAGUUGUUAAACUGAUGGCUAUGGUUUGUGGAAUCCCCUGUGGAUCUUGGUUUCAGUGAAGUAUGUUUAGGAAGGGAUUUGAGCUAAAUCAAAAAAGAAAAUUAUCUUUUUAUAUACUGUCUGCAUAGAAGAGUAUACCAGUAUACUUUCUCCAUGUAGAUGAGAUUUCUAUGGUGAACUUCUUAGAGACCGAAUGCACUAUCGGUACACUCCGUUGGGGGCCAGGUAGUGUUUGUUUUCAAAACUGAUGGCAUCAGAUUCCUAUCUGUGUGUUCAGAUACAUUUUUAAAAAUAGGCUUGUGCUGUGGCUUGCAUUCAAGUCUGUUAUUUUUAACCCUCUUAGUUUCUUGAAUAAAAUCAAGUUGGAGAAAUGUUGAUACAGUUUGGGAAAAUAGUUCUAUAUGGGAUCUUAUGGUCCCCAUAAUAGGAGUUAUGUACUGCAGAACACCUGGACAAUCUCCUGGGCAAGAAAAGGAAGACGGAGGAAGUAUUAAGAGACCUCAUGUCAGCCACUUGGAAAACCUCAAGGAAGAUGGAAAACUUGGUAGGGGAUGCUUGCAGAGGAGAGGGACUGCUACUAAGGAAGACCUCAAGCUGAUGGGCAGCUCUUAAAAAGGACUUUGACUUGACUUGCCCCUGUUUGCACUAGCUAGGAAUUCCUUGAACAGCUUUGCUGGUGAGCACAUAAUUGCAGUGUUGCCACAGGGUGCUGAGACAUUAAGCCCUGUGCUCUAACUCCUGGUGCUCUACAUAGUGCCAUGAGUUAGAGCACCCCUCUGGCCCUCCCCACCCAACAGACUUUUUCCUGUUGGGUAGGGGAGGGUGGGGGAUCAAGUUUGCCUAGCUGGCUGAGGAGCCAGUACCCCAGCCAAGGAGGGCUGUGGGGAGACUGCAAGGCAGGGGUGGGGGGGCUCCAAUCCAUUCCCCCCCCUUCCCCCCCCUCCUCCCCCCACCUCCAACUCAGGCCAGGCA